rnacentral:lncRNA from 1 species
GGAGGUUAAACUAGGUCAUAGUUUAAAAGAUCUAUUUAUCUUUUGAAUUAAAAUGUUAGAAAAAAUUUUGUGUCAAAGUAUGAAAUCUUGAAAAGAAACAAUUAAUAUCUAAGUUCAAGCCAGCUGAAAAGCCAAUACAUACUUGAAAAGCCAAGAUAUGUUUAAAGAUUAUGCAUUAUCACUACACAGACAUAUUUUUGAUGCUUUUUCGAGAUACUUGUAAUAGCACAUGCCCUAAAUUAGGAUCGAUGACAAUGAUAUGAUCCCCAUGUUAUCACCAAUUUCCAACUUCUAAUAAAUAGGUCGAUAAACAUAAUUCUACCUUCUAAUUGUCAAUGUACAAACCCUCAUAACUU